rnacentral:rRNA from 1 species
GACGAACGCUGGCGGCGUGCUUAACACAUGCAAGUCGAACGGAAAGGCCCUGCUUUUGUGGGGUGCUCGAGUGGCGAACGGGUGAGUAACACGUGAGUAACCUGCCCUUGACUUUGGGAUAACUUCAGGAAACUGGGGCUAAUACCGGAUAGGAGCUCCUGCUGCAUGGUGGGGGUUGGAAAGUUUCGGCGGUUGGGGGUGGACUCGCGGGUUAUCAGCUUGUUGGUGGGGUAGUGGCUUACCAAGGCUUUGACGGGUAGCAGGCCUGCGAGGGUGACCGGCCACAUUGGGACUGAGAUACGGCCCAGACUCCUACGGGAGGCAGCAGUAGCGAAUAUUGCACAAUGGGCGGAAGCCUGAUGCAGCAACGCCGCGUGCGGGAUGACGGCCUUCGGGUUGUGAACCGCUUUCGCCUGUGACGAAGCGUGAGUGACGGUAAUGGGUAAAGAAGCACCGGCUAACUACGUG